AGGGAUACUCCGAGGAAACCGGGGCUAAUACCGAAUAAUCUAUUNUUACUUCAUGGUGAAAUACUGAAAGACGGUUUCAGGCUAGUCGCUAUAAGAUGGGUUCCGCGGCGUCAUUAGCUAGUUGGUGAGGUAACGGCAUCACCAAGGCGACGAUAGCGUAGUCGAUCCUAGAGAGGGUAGACUCGGUCACACUAGGGACUAGAGACACGGCCCAGACUCCUACGGGAGGCAGCAGUAGGGAAUCUUCCACAAUGGGCGAAAGUCCUGAUGGAGCAACGCCGCGUGAGGUAGAAGAAGGAAUNCG
rnacentral:rRNA from 1 species